GACGAACCGUGCGAACGUUGUUCGGAUUCACUGGGCUUAAAGGGCGCGUAGGCGGCUUGCCAAGUCAGGGGUGAAAUCUUUCGGCUCAACCGGAAAAGUGCCUUUGAUACUGGCGAGCUAGAGGGAGGUAGGGGUGCGUGGAACUUCUGGUGGAGCGGUGAAAUGCGUAGAUAUCAGAAGGAACGCCGGUGGCGAAAGCGGCAUCCUGGACCGACAUUGACGCUGAGGAGCGAAAGCUAGGGGAGCAAACGGG
rnacentral:rRNA from 1 species